CCGGCGUGAAAGGCAGGGGCUCAACCUCUGGACUGCGUUGGAUACUUCCGUGCUUGAGGACUGGAGGGGAGACUGGAAUUCACGGUGUAGCAGUGAAAUGCGUAGAUAUCGUGAGGAAGACCGGUGGCGAAGGCGAGUCUCUGGACAGAUCCUGACGCUGAGGCACGAAGGCUGGGGGAGCGAACAGGAUUAGAUACCCUGGUAGUCCCAGCAGUAAACGAUGUGAGCUUGAUGUGGGGGGAUUCGACCCCUUCCGUGUCGAAGCUAACGCGAUAAGCUCACCGCCUGAGGAGUACGGCCGCAAGGCUAAAACUCAAAGAAAUUGACGGGGACCCGCACAAGCGGUGGAGUAUGUGGCUUAAUUCGAUGCAACGCGAAGAACCUUACCUGGCCUUGACAUGCAUUGUGUCGUCGGUGAAAGCCGGCUAGUCCUGGAAACAGGACGCUUUGCACAGGUGCUGCAUGGCUGUCGUCAGCUCGUGUCGUGAGAUGUUGGGUUAAGUCCCGCAACGAGCGCAACCCUUGUGGUCAGUUACUAACCGGCUUAGCCGGAGGACUCUGGCCAGACUGCCCUGUCAAACGGGGAGGAAGGUGGGGACGACGUCAAGUCAGUAUGGCCCUUAUGGCCAGGGCUGCACACGUACUACAAUGCCCGGUACAAUGUGAACCGAAACCGCGAGGUGGAGGAAAUCGCUCUUGAAAACCGGGCCCAGUUCGGAUUGGAGUCUGCAACUCGACUCCAUGAAGUCGGAAUCGCUAGUAAUGGCGUAUCAGCAACGACGCCGUGAAUACGUUCCCGGGUCUUGUACACACCGCCCGUCACAUCAUGGAAGUCUCCUGUACCCGAAGCACGUGCGCCAACACUUUCAGGAGGCAGCGUUCGAAGGUAUCCUUCGGUACUGGGAUGAAGUGUAACAAG
rnacentral:rRNA from 1 species